GUCCAGACAACACCGGUGCAAGGAACCAACAACUUUUGCUUGUUGUUGUUUAUCCUACCACAAAAAUAGGCUAAAAAGCCAACCCUAUCGUGCAAUGAUAUGGCGACACUCAAAAACAGUUUGUCUGGACUUAUUUUGGAGAAAAACGGAAGAUACUUCGAGAUUUCAGACGACUUUGGCCUAUGAGAGACCACCAGCAACCUUCUGUUAACAUGGCUAGUUCCUUUGUCGG